rnacentral:rRNA from 1 species
GUUGAACGCUGGCGGCAGGCUUAACACAUGCAAGUCGAGCGGGGUGAUGGUGCUUGCACUAUCACUUAGCGGCGGACGGGUGAGUAACGCUUAGGAAUCUGCCUAUUAGUGGGGGACAACAUCUCGAAAGGGAUGCUAAUACCGCAUACGUCCUACGGGAGAAAGCAGGGGAUCACUUGUGACCUUGCGCUAAUAGAUGAGCCUAAGUCGGAUUAGCUAGUUGGUGGGGUAAAGGCCUACCAAGGCGAGGAUCUGUAGCGGGUCUGGGAGGAUGUUCCGCCACACGGGGACUGAGAAGCGGCCCAGACUCCUACGGGAGGCAGCAGUGGGGAAUAUUGGACAAUGGGGGGAACCCUGAUCCAGGCAUGCCGCGUGUGUGAAGAAGGCCUUAUGGUUGUAAAGCACUUUAAGCGAGGAGGAGGCUCUUUUGGUUAAUACCCAAGAUGAGUGGACGUUACUCGCAGAAUAAGCACCGGCUAACUCUGUGCCAGCCGCCGCGGUAA